GACGAACGCUGGCGGCGUGCCUAAUACAUGCAAGUAGAACGCUGAAGGAAGGAGCUUGCUCUUUCUGGAUGAGUUGCGAACGGGUGAGUAACGCGUAGGUAACCUGCCUGGUAGCGGGGGAUAACUAUUGGAAACGAUAGCUAAUACCGCAUAAAAUUGAUUAUUGCAUGAUAGUCAAUUAAAAGGUGCAACUGCACCACUACCAGAUGGACCUGCGUCGUAUUAGCUAGUUGGUGGGGUAACGGCUCACCAAGGCGACGAUACAUAGCCGACCUGAGAGGGUGAUCGGCCACACUGGGACUGAGACACGGCCCAGACUCCUACGGGAGGCAGCAGUAGGGAAUCUUCGGCAAUGGACGGAAGUCAGACCGAGCAACGCCGCGUGAGUGAAGAAGGUUUUCGGAUCGUAAAGCUCUGUUGUAAGAGAAGAACGAGUGUGAGAGUGGAAAGUUCACACUGUGACGGUAGCUUACCAGAAAGGGACGGCUAACUACGUG
rnacentral:rRNA from 1 species